ensembl:lncRNA
UUUCAAUUAUUAUUCAUAGUUUACCUUUGGUUAUUGCAUUCACAUAUUAUGGCUCUGUGUAUAAAUUAUAAAUCUUACCGAUUCUUCUCAUCAAUUAUCCAGUCCCUGAACUUCUCUUCCUGGCAUUUACUGAUUGCUUUGUUUAAAUUCUACAUCAAUCUUUAAUCUUUUAAUCUAGGAUUUCUUAACUGAAUAUCAAUCUUCUAUAAAGAAAGGAGGGAAGAGAAAUAAAAUGUUCACAGCAUAAAAAAAAAGAGAUUUUCAGCUCUAAUUUUCAAUGUGCUUUCAGUGGAGUUCAGUGUAGAACAGAUGCCAUGAAGUUUCUCCGAAUUUCCUGAC